GUGUUUGCUUCAGCAGCACAUAUGCUAAAAUUGGAAUGAUACAAAGAAGAUUAGCAUGACCUCUCUGCAAGUAUGACAUGAAAUUGAUGAAGCAUUCUAUAUUUUU
ensembl:snRNA U6 U6 spliceosomal RNA